UGAAAAUAAAUUUCUCUUUAAAUUGAGAAAUAGUGGGGGCACUAGUGGGGGUAUUGCAACUGAUCACAUUUCAGUGAUCAGAAGCAGUGAUGAGAACAUCAAACAAGAUGUUAUGAACCUCGAAGAGGUAAGAUAGCAAUAGUUGCUAAAGAGUGUGAACCUUGUUACAUGGUUUAUACAUUAGAAGAGAAUUUAACUAGCUUUCAAAAAGCGUUGUCUUCCUUGAAGGUUGAUAUAUGGCAAGAGGCCAUAAAAGAUAAGAUAGAUUCUCAAUGGUCUAAUAAGACUUGACAUUUGAAAGAAUUGCCUCCUGAGUACAAACCAAUGAGUUGUAAAUGAAUUUUGAAAAAUAAUCUAAAACAUUAUAGAAAU
rnacentral:lncRNA from 1 species